GUCUGUAAGGUGCUACUGGAAGGAUUUUUUUUAUUUUGUUUUGAGGUCUGUUACAGGGAUUGCAGAGGUGGUGGGCGAGUAGGGAGGGGAGAUUAUGUACCUAGUCGUAGUGUAGGCUGAGCCUAGUCCAUGCCAGGGAAUCGUUGGCCCGCGUCCUCAGAUCCAGAGAGAGAGCAAAAGAAAGCACCAGGAAAGAUCCUUCUUUGGAGGAAAACAGUUUAUUCUCUGUGCACAGUGACAGCCAGCAGAAUAACUUCUGGAAGACUGGCUGCCCAGAAAUACGCCUCUGCAGACUUUCUUAUACCUUGAGAAAGCUCCCUCCCUCCUCCCCCAAACGCCCUCCAAAAACUUCCCCAAUCAACUGGAAAGUUUUUAACUUAUUUUUUAUAUGGCAUGGCAUAUCUAUAAUGCUAGCCCUCUAUGCAGCCCCCUCCCUAUUUUCCCUAUACGUGUCUUUCUAAGCGUCCUGCAUCCCCUCCUCCCGUCUCCCUCGUAUGUGUCUUUCUUAUCUUACAUUCCUAAAGUAAGAAAGCGAGGGGCCUCUGGUUAUUUCUAGCUUACAGUCUCCUUCAUAUGUGUCUUUCUUAUCUUGCAUUCCUAAAAUAAGAAAGCGAGGGGCCUCUUUUGCAGAAGUCAAAUUAGCUCAGAAAUUUACUUAGAUCCAAAGUACAGAGAAUAUAGAAGAUCCUUCUUAGGUACAAGGUACAAGGUAUAGAAAGCAUAUAGAAAGCAACCCUUCCCUCUCCCUUCACUCCCUCCUCUUCUUAUGAACAACCUAAUACUUAGGUUCGUUCUGGGGUAGGGGUCUAUAAUCUCUCAUGAAAGCAAGCACACGAGGUCCCAUCAUGCGAGACAUCAUCUUCUCCAUCAUACUUUGCAUACAUUGCAUCAAGCAGGGCAUACAGAAGCAGAAAAGCAAUAAAAGCAUUAUUGGACCUAUCACCAUAGUAAAUAUCCUCCCCAUCCAUCCACCUGGGAAGAUGCCGUCCAACCAAGACAUAUCCCAGCCCUCCCAGGUUUGUACAGGGACAUGUGCUACCUUUUCAAUGCUUGCUGCCAGAUCACGGAUAGCCUCGCCAUGGUCUGAAAUGUUGAAGCAACAUGCUCCACCUGUCAGGUUCAGGGCAGCACAAAAACCUCCUUGCUUAGCUAAAAUGAAGUCCAUUCCCAAACGCAAUUGGAGAAUAGCCGUUCGGGUUUCAUCUAGCUGGGUGGCAACAAGACGGAGGGCGGUGGCUGUAGCAUUGGCCACAACUUCCACCACUGCCUGGAGCCUGAUGAUUCGAUUGAGAUUGUAAAUGGGCUCUCUGGCACCUGCCACUAACUCAUCAGGGUUCCAGGAGGCAGGAUCAUAGUGGGCAAUUAUCCGCUCAGGUGGCCAUUCGUCCUUUCCCCAGGUUUGUUUACUACCCCCCGCGAUGUUGGAGAUAUCAGCAAAGCGGCGGUUACGAUGGGAUGGGGAAGAGGGUAUCCACAUUGGAGGUACAAGAAACGCUGGAAAGCAGACACCAUAUCCGUUCUGUGGAUAGAGGUGAUAAGCUUUUGUUCCACAAAUCCAAUAAAUAUUACUGCCGCGCUGAGAAGAGGUCCAGCUGGCUCGAGAACCUUCCACCAUGAGUGCAAGGUUGGUACAAGCCCCGCCACAUUCAGAGAUGUCCAAAGGACUACCACAUGUACAUUUACAUGAUGACCGUCCUAUAAACCUCGUAUAGUUGUAGACGGUAUUUCGGGUUUGAUUAAUACAGAACCAUCCAGAGACCCUAUAAACUCGUAAAGGAGCUGAAUGGUUCCAAUAAGGAGUUGGGCGGGAUGGACUAUGUGUAUAUUGGAUCUGAGAACGAUUGAGGGGUAUGGGGAGCAUGGGCAUUCCUCCUCCUCCAUCUAAGGGUCCAAGGGUACAAACUAAACAAGCAGUUUUAUUUGCUUCAUGGGCUACUAUUUCUGCCAAUUGAAGCCACUUGUUAUAGAGACUCUGAGCCCCCUGUUUUCUCAUUUCCUGUGUGGGGAAAAUGCUAUUACGAUUUAAGACCUGGAAGCAUUCGGCCUUGGGAAUAGAUUCUCCCAUCAUAAAUAGGAGAAGGAUCAUCAAGGGGAUGGAGGGGGAUCGCUUCCUUCCAAAAAACCUAUGGCGCUCGUGCCAACAGAAAUACGAGAGCAUCCAUAUGACAAGGGCGAUACAUAUCACUCCUAUCCACCAAACCCAAUAUCUCCAUGGUUCCUCCCACCAAAAAUCAGGGUUCAUUUCUAGUUUUCUUUUACAGCUGAAGGGCCCACUGAUACUCGUAUUCAACUAUUUCCUGGGCCUCAGGGGUAACUUUCCACUUCUCUGCUGAGGCACCUACUAUACGGAGCAAUUUCCCUACAAUCCCUUGUGGGUGGACUGGGCUCUCGUGUUGUCUCUUCAAGAUAUUAUACCCAAAAGGGGCUCCUCCCUCUUCAUAUAUCAGCAUGCACCCACAGGAAUAUGUCCACCCCUGCAAUGGCCUGACACUUGGGGUGACUAUAUCAAGGGGUUCCGGACCCAAUACCAAAAGUCCGAUUGGUGCCUCUGAAUUUGCUGGAGAGCAAGUUUCUACGUUGGGGACGCUGCCCGCGGGCGCCCCUCCCAUCCAAUUCUUCAGCCGUGCGUAGAGAUAUCAGCCUCCGGAGUGAUAUCAGCAGGGCGGUUGUCUACCGGGCGUCUGGAGAUGGUCAGCCGAAGGGAAUUCUCUGGAUCUGGUGUUACUGUCCAGUCUGAAAUGGCUUUCUUCACUCGAGUAUGGUGGACCCACGGGGUGAUGCCGGCAACCUUCACAGCAGUAGGGGUAGAGAGUAGCACAGUGUAGGGUCCCCUCCAGCAGGGCUGUAGGGGGGCUCGCUGCCAGUCUUUCACCCACACUUCGUCACCUGGCUCGAACUGAUGGAACGGUUCAGUUAACACACAUGGGGUGCGAGCCUGGGUCCACCUGUUGAGGUAAGAGAAAACUUGGGAGAGUGACUGUACAUAGUUAUUCAAUU
rnacentral:lncRNA from 1 species